UGUCUCCUCCACCCUCCUUGGUGGAUUGCGGCCCGAGCACCAGGUGCUCGGGCCUUUUUUC
rnacentral:ncRNA from 1 species